AGCAGCCGCGGUAAUUCCAGCUCCAAUAGCGUAUAUUAAAGUUGUUGCAGUUAAAAAGCUCGUAGUUGAAUUUCGGGAUCAAUUUAUUGGUCGUGCUUUUGUACGUACUGGCAUUUUUGGUUUCUCCCUUCUGAAGAACCAUGAUGUCAUUAAUUUGGUGUCAUGGGGAAUCAGGACUGUUACUUUGAAAAAAUUAGAGUGUUUAAAGCAGGCUCACGCUUGAAUACAUUAGCAUGGAAUAACGAAAUAGGACGUUUGAUUCUAUUUUGUUGGUUUCUAGGAUCGACGUAAUGAUUAAUAGGGAUAGUUGGGGGCAUUAGUAUUCAAUUGUCAGAGGUGAAAUUCUUGGAUUUAUUGAAGACUAACUACUGCGAAAGCAUUUGCCAAGGAUGUUUUCAUUAAUCAAGAACGAAAGUUAGGGGAUCGAAGACGAUCAGAUACCGUCGUAGUCUUAUUCCAUAAACUAUGCCGACUAUUGUUCGACAUGUUCUGGAAG
rnacentral:rRNA from 1 species